GCCCUCGUGGAGUAAUGGUCAGCACACUCGGCGCGUAAUCGAAAGGUCCGUGGUUCGAGUCCCGGCGAGGGCA
rnacentral:tRNA from 1 species